GACGAACGCUGGCGGCGUGCUUAACACAUGCAAGUCGAACGGAAAGGCCCUGCUUUUGUGGGGUGCUCGAGUGGCGAACGGGUGAGUAACACGUGAGUAACCUGCCCUUGACUUUGGGAUAACUUCAGGAAACUGGGGCUAAUACCGGAUAGGAGCUCCUGCUGCAUGGUGGGGGUUGGAAAGUCUCGGCGGUUGGGGCUGGACUCGCGGCUUAUCAGCUUGUUGGUGGGGUAGUGGCUUACCAAGGCUUUGACGGGUAGCCGGCCUGAGAGGGUGACCGGCGACAUUGGGACUGAGAGACGGCCCAGACGCCUACGGGAGGCAGCAGUGGGGAAUAUUGCACAAUGGGCGGAAGCCUGAUGCAGCAACGCCGCGUGCGGGAUGACGGCCUUCGGGUUGUAAACCGCUUUCGCCUGUGACGAAGCGUGAGUGACGGUAAUGGGUAAAGAAGCACCGGCUAACUACGUG
rnacentral:rRNA from 1 species